GUAGAGAGAUCGAGAGCGAUAAACUCACAGACAAGCGAAGGACAGAGAAGGGAAGAGCAACGUUCGCAGGAAAAGUCCGAAGUUUAAUACGUGCCGCGCUACACUUCAGGUUUCGAGCUUGGUGAUUAUUAUUACGUUACACGGCCAGCGUUGGGGGGGGGGCACCACCCGGGGCGCCAGAUCUUUGAGGGCGUCGCAGUCCAGUGUUCCUAGUCAGGGCCGGCGUAAGGCAGAUUCAGCGCGUUCGUCGGAACCCGGCCCCGUGUUUUCAGAAGCCCCGCGGUCACAGCCAACUCUAGUACUAGCCAUGCUGAGAAACGUGGCAACGCCGCUUAAGUCUAGAUCGAGACUACUAUUUUCCAAUAUGAGUCUUGUGCUUCGUAUCAUAAUUAACAGUUUUUUUAAUAGAAAACUGUACUAAUGUACACCAUUUGUUAUUAAUUAUGUAAAAGUGGUAUAUAAAUAUUAUGACUAUAUGGUUUGAAGAAAAUAUAAGUGUGAAGAAAGAUAAAACCUUCUUUGGACCAAAUUGAAGUGUUUUAAAAUUAAUAAGAGAUAUUUUUAACUUAAUACAAACGUGAAAUAGACAAAAUUGUUAGUAUGAAGUCAAAGAGGUUAAGUGAACGCGUGGAAGAGAUGAAGGGAAGCUACCC